UAUAAUUUUACACUAUUAAAAUUACAAACUAUAAUUAAAAGUCCAUUAUUAAUUAGUCCAACAUCAAAAGCCUUUAAAAGUCCAUUCUAAUUAGCCCAACAUCAAAAGUAAUUAAAAGUCCAUUCUCACUUCUAUCAAAUGAAAAAUUGUGCCAGCAACCCUAAUUCCUACUCCAGCGCAGCGCCGCUCUUCUUCUCCAUUCUAUUUUUGCAUUUUUUUUAAUCUUCUUCUAACGCCUCCUGCUCCGGCGAAGGACGCCGCCCUCAGCCACCGCCACCACCACCACCACCACCGGCAUUCCCCCUUCUAUCCUUCACCGCGCACGGCGAGGUUGUACAUGCAGCGCCGCCUCCGUCUCCACACCGCCGCCGCAAUCACCAUCUCCACGCCGUCCACCAUCACCAAAAUUUCUCGUCGCUCCGACUCGCCCGACCUCCUCCGUCCUUGGCGCCUGCGUUAAAAUCUGCGCCACCGAUCUCGCCGACUCGCUCAGUCUAUCCCGUCGCUCUGAUCCGCCCGGCCUCCUCCGUCCUUGACGCUGCGUCAGAAUCUGGCCGCUGGUCUCGCCGACCCCCGCCUUCUCCGUCCUUGGUGCCCCUGUUAGAAGCAGUAGCAGCUUCUUCAUCAGCUCAGCCGAUUCGUUGUCUUCAGUCAUAGCUACCGACCACACUUUCUCUAUCUCCUCUCUGCCUUUGAAAUUGUAUCUUCUCUUCCAUUUAUGCGAAUGAUACAACUGUUGGCUGGUAUUUAUACUGAUUCAUUUCUUGGCCCCAAAGUAUUGUGCCAACUGGUAUUUGUACUUCAUCAUUUCUUGGAGCCAAAGUAUUGUGUAUUAACCA